rnacentral:rRNA from 1 species
UACGUAGGUCCCGAGCGUUGUCCGGAUUUAUUGGGCGUAAAGCGAGCGCAGGUGGUUUAUUAAGUCUGGUGUAAAAGGCAGUGGCUCAACCAUUGUAUGCAUUGGAAACUGGUAGACUUGAGUGCAGGAGAGGAGAGUGGAAUUCCAUGUGUAGCGGUGAAAUGCGUAGAUAUAUGGAGGAACACCGGUGGCGAAAGCGGCUCUCUAGCCUGUAACUGACACUGAGGCUCGAAAGCGUGGGGAACAAACAGG